ACACCGGCAGACUGGACAGGCCCAAGAAAACCCAACACAAAAAAGAAAAAAAAAUUGUCAAAGACUUUCCACGACAGACUACUUCUGCAAAAAUACUUGCUGAAAACUCACAUUUCUCACAGAAAAUGUCAUAGAUCACCACCAAAUUUGACUUGUCAACUUACAUUCAGCAAAGUUUACCCUACAUUUUUAAAGGGGGAGUUAAUAAUAGACUGCCCAUUGAUUUGAUGAAAACAUCAGGGUUACAAAGAUGUCAACAAUGAUCCAGUGGCACGUGAGAUGGUUUUGUGCCAAACUUUGUACUAAAGCAAAUGGAUCUGUUCAGAGGAUGGAGCCUGACUGAUUAAUAAACGGUACAGGGCAGCAUUGCGUUUUAAACUCCCAACCUCGGCACUUCAGCUUGAACACAUCUCUCUUCUGAACAAUUUUCCACAACCCUGCACCAGCCUUCUGAUUCCUGGACACAUUCCAGGUUUUGUAGAGUUUAGGUGCUUCUUUCAUGGCAUAUUCUUUCAGUAACUACUUUAUCUGGGAAUGAAACUGACCACCAAAUGUUCUUAUAUAAUGCACAUGAAUAUGAUAAUUUAACACACACACACACACACACACACACACA